GCCUGCGGAGAUUGUCUUUCCAAGGUGGGAGCUGCCCUUACCUCUUUAAUUUACUUUCCUCCAGGCUGAAAUUGUGAACCUUGGCCACUCCCAGUUAAAAUUCUCUUCUCUCAUUUGGGACACUGAAGGGCAUCUUUCACCCCCAACUGUCAAAUAGAAACAUAGAAAGCAACUCAACAUAGCCUUCAACAACCAGGAACUGUAGAAAAGGAAUUUGCAAACAUUGCACAUUCUCCUUUGUUGCUUCAAAUAUGUGGUAUCUUCUAGGAACUGGGCCCAGAGUCUCGCUGUGUCGCCCAGGCUGGAGUGCAAGUGGCAUGAUCUCGGCUCACAACUGCAACCUCCAUCUCCCGGGUUCAAACGAUUCUCCUACCUCAGCCUUCCGAAUAUCUGGGAUUACAGGCUUGUGAAGAAGGUGCCUUUCUUCCCCUUCGCCUUCUGCCAUGAUUGUAAGUUUCCUGAGGCCUCCCCAGCCAUGUUGAAUUCUCAUUGUCCCUGAUAAAAUAGCACCCUCUCUUCCUCUGCUCUUCCACCCUUUUCCUCUUCCACUGUGCAACUGAAGACUAGGAAAGAAUGACAUGCAAAAUAAGAGGUUUUGGAUUCAGCGUAGGAGUAACUACUGGAUGCUACUUACAGAAAACUUUAUAUUUGUGCUGAAAAAUCUUGUUAUCUAGGUGAAAGCCAAUGCUAUCCUAAUGACAAAUUGUUGGGGAAAUAAAUUUAUAAGAGACUUUAUUUAAAGAAAUAAAAGAAAAAAUAAUAAA